UUUGGAGAAUAGUAAUUAAAUAUUUAACUUAUGAAGAGUAAUAUUGGAGGUUCCUUAACAGGUGGAUAUAGCAUACUUUGAUAAUAACUGCUGCUUAUUGAUUCUUUAAAGUAAUUCUCGAACACUUCUAAAAACAGUACUGUGUGUCUGCUUUUAAAUUAUCCACUUUCUCUGUCAGAUUUCUGAUAUUUAAGGUCCUAGGGAACCGAAUGCUUUUUAAUUUAUUUUUUUACUUUGCUGCUUGCCUGCCUGCCUUCCCCUCCCUCCCCUCCCUUUCUCGCCCCUUCCCUCUCUUCUCCUCCCCUCCGUUCAUUUGUUUGCAAUUUUUUGAGUUUAUUUGAGUGAAACUGAAGAUAUAUGCCAAGGAGCAAGAUAUCACAUGUUCCCACUAUUUGCUUUAUUCUUGCAUUUCUAACUUAUUAAGCAUAUUUGAGGGGGAUAAAGAUAUCACUGCCAUCUUUCCCUUUUUUAGUCAUAUAUUAUUAAGAAUGUGUAUUACUUUCUUAAAUUCCUUUACAUAGGAACCUAAAAAAUGAGAUCCUAGAAAAGAUGAUUAAUUCAUUUAUUCAAAUUUUAAGUCAGUGUAUUCGUGCCUGAUAAUGUGUGAGAUGUUUUGUAUAGGUUAGUUCAUUUAAUUUCUAUAAUAAUGUGAUUAAGACUGAUUUACCACAGAAUUGAAUAAAAACAGGGAUGAUUUGGUAAGAGCUGCAUCUAUUUAUGUAUAUAUGUAUGUAUGUAUUAUAUUGUCACAUUCCUUUUAUACUAAUAUAUGUUGCAUUGCAAAUGGCAGAACAGCAAAGUCUGAUAGUUUUUCAUGUCUUGAUAGAAUAGAUUCUCUCAUGGUCAUAUGUAUGUACUUAUCUCAAACUCAAAUAUAAAUCAGCUUUAAGUAGCCUUCUGUUUUGAUAUAUAUUACACACUUGGCCAAACAAGGUAUGUCUAUUGUUAUUAGUUUGUAUGUCUAAUAAAAGGCAUAUCUUGCAUAUGCUGCACUCCCUCUUUGAAUUUUAAAAGCACAAAAGAAUUGGUUAAAAUAGUGAGAGAAGUCGCCAAGUUAGGAGGUUAAUUUAUGUUAAAAGAAAUGUUCCUGUAUUUAUGGAACCACUGCAGUGGAGAAUGCUGUUUUUUGCUUGUCAUAUCAAUCUACUUAUUUAAUUUAUUGCUUUGUAAUUUAUUGCUUUGUAUGUCAGUUGUUUUAUAUAAAUUCCUAUAGAUUUACUAAAGUAAAAAUGAAGUGUUUUCAGAAUUUUUAUCUAAAUUAUUUAUCAGCAGUAAAGAAGGUAAUAUUUUAAGUCUUGUGAUGUCUCCCUUCUUACAAAUAACUGAAAUUUUGAGGAUCAGACUUGGUAAUAUCUAAGGAACUAUAAAAGUGCCAUUCUUAAGGUUAUAUAUUUCCUCCAUCUCCUAGACUCUCCUAAAAUAUAUCUCUUCGUAAUUAUUAUCUUUUAAAGCAUAAACAAAUGCUACAGAUAUUUGAGAAGUUUGUAACUGAGAUAAGUUUGUUAAAAAAUGAUAUGCUAGACUUUGAGUUGGUAACUGAAUUUAGGCGAUGGCUAGAUAGAUGUUCACUAUUCAUUUUUCUUUCUAUUGUAUGAGUUUGAAAUAGUCGAUAGCGUGGAAUUAAACUAUAUAUAUCACACUUAUUUUGUUUGUUUUUCUAUUUGAAGGAAUUAGCUGAACAACUUAAAGCCCAACUUGAAAAGGCAAAUAAAUUUAAAGAAACUAUAACACAGAUAUCAAAAAAAUCUGGGAUAGAGUGUGUCCUGAUGGGAAAAAGCAUAGGCCAGGGAGACCUGGUUUUGUUCUGGACUCUGUCAUUUACUGUUUGACCUUAUACAAGUCAAACUGGUUUUUAAAUUCUACGCCUACAGAAUGAGAGACUUGAGUUUGCGUCCAUUUUAUAUAAAACAAGUUAUUUUGUUCCACGAUUCAUUCAUGCAUCUGUUAAUGAACAAAGUAGAUAAAAACACC